rnacentral:lncRNA from 1 species
AGUACACUAUACUUUAUUGAUGGUACAUGACAAAGUAGGGUUCCCCGAGCCCUCCCCUUCUUCAAGGUGUCUGGGAUGGAAACUGUGGAGGUUGGGAGAUUCUCAGUGUGUUGGAGGAUGAGCUGGGGUAAGGACUCCCCAGAAGCUGAGGGCCUCUCUCUUUCUCUUGUUCUCAGCCCUCAGCUGGUCCCGGGGUCUCUGACUCCUUGGAGGCCAUGUUAACCCAUAAGGUCCACAACCUAGUUUCUUUAGCCAAAUUCAUUGUUAUACCAGGAAAUGAGCUGACAGAGUGUCCAUUGAGAGCAGUGCCAACCCUAGCAUCGAAAUGGAAGAGUGGGUGUUCCUGUUAAAGUCAUGGGAGACAAACUAGUGUAGCCAAGAUGCCCUUAAGAGGACCCUCCAAUUCCUGUUUCACCACCUUCUUGAUGUCAUCAUAUUUGGCAGCUGUCUUCAGGAAGUAGGU